UACGUAGGUGGCAAGCGUUGUCCGGAAUUAUUGGGCGUAAAGGGCGUGUAGGUGGACUCAUAAGUCGUGUGUCUAAGUGCGAAGCUCAACUUCGUAUAGGCGCAGGAAACUGUGAGCCUUGAGUGCAGGAGAGGAAAGUGGAAUUCCCAGUGUAGCGGUGAAAUGCGUAGAUAUUGGGAGGAACACCAGUGGCGAAGGCGACUUUCUGGACUGUGUCUGACACUGAGGCGCGAAAGCUAGGGGAGCGAACGGG
rnacentral:rRNA from 1 species